rnacentral:rRNA from 1 species
UACGUAGGGCGCAAGCGUUGUCCGGAAUUAUUGGGCGUAAAGAGCUCGUAGGCGGUUUGUCGCGUCUGCUGUGAAAUCCUCAGGCUCAACCUGGGGCGUGCAGUGGGUACGGGCAGACUAGAGUGCGGUAGGGGAGACUGGAAUUCCUGGUGUAGCGGUGAAAUGCGCAGAUAUCAGGAGGAACACCGGUGGCGAAGGCGGGUCUCUGGGCCGAUACUGACGCUGAGGAGCGAAAGCAUGGGUAGCGAACAGG